rnacentral:rRNA from 1 species
UAGUGGAUCAUCCGGUGUUCUCACCGGUGCACUUCGCUAGGUUUAGGCCAGCAUCGGUUUGGGCGGUUGGAUAAAGGUCUCUGUCACGUACCUCCUCUCGGGGAGGCCUUAUAGGGGAGACGACAUGCAACCAGCCUGGACUGAGGUCCGCGCAUCUGCUAGGAUGCUGGCGUAAUGGCUGUAAGCGG